AUUUGGGGAUUUUUGAUGUUGUAUCUUAGCCUUAGCGUUUGAGUAUAAGAGAAAUACCUGAGCGUGGCGGUAUCACCCAGUUUCUUUUUGGUUAGUAAAU